GUACGGGAGGCAGCAGUGGGGAAUAUUGGUCAAUGGGCGAAAGCCUGAACCAGCAAUGCCGCGUGAGUGAUGAAGGCCUUCGGGUUGUAAAGCUCUGUCAGUGGGAACGAAUAAGCCGAUUAAUACUCGGUGGUGACGGUACCCACAAAGGAAGCACCGGCUAACUCUGUGCCAGCAGCCGCGGUAAUACAGAGGGUGCAAGCGUUGUUCGGAAUUACUGGGCGUAAAGCGCGUGUAGGCGGUCUAGCAAGUCGGGUGUGAAAUCCCUUGGCUUAACCAAGGAACUGCAUUCGAAACUACUAAACUUGAGUAUCGGAGGGGGUGGCGGAAUUCCCGGUGUAGAGGUGAAAUUCGUAGAUAUCGGGAGGAACACCUGUGGCGAAGGCGGCCACCUGGAAGAUUACUGACGCUGAGACGCGAAAGCGUGGGGAGCAAACAGGAUUAGAUACCCCGGUAGU
rnacentral:rRNA from 1 species